rnacentral:tRNA from 1 species
GGCCCGGUGGUCAAGUGGCCUAAGACACCGCCCUUUCACGGCGGUAACACGAGUUCGAAUCUCGUCCGGGUCACCA